AGCUUCUGCCGCCUGGAAAUUCAUAGCCUGGAACGAAGCACGCUAUCUUUGAAUUCCACACUCAAAGAAAAACAUUUUUCGGUUUCGAUCUGCUGGUGGAUCUUAAUCUGUUUUGCACUUCUAUCGUUUGCGGCGGAAAAGAUAGCGUGUUUCGAUUCAGGCUCAUGAAUCUCUAGCUGUCAAUAAGAUUCU
rnacentral:pre_miRNA from 1 species